GUGCUUGCCUCGGUAGCACAUAUACUAAAAUUGGAGUGAUACAGAGAAAAUUAGCAUGGCCCUUGUGCAAGGAUGACACACAAAUUCGUGAAGCGUUCCAUAUUUCU
rnacentral:snRNA from 1 species